CGGGGUGAGUAAUGUCUGGGAAACUGCCUGAUGGAGGGGGAUAACUGCUGGAAACGGUAGCUAAUACCGCAUAACGUCGCAAGACCAAAGAGGGGGACCUUCGGGCCUCUUGCCAUCGGAUGUGCCCAGAUGGGAUUAGCUAGUAGGUGGGGUAACGGCUCACCUGGGCGACGAUCCCUAGCUGGUCUGAGAGGAUGGCCAGCCACACUGGAACUGAGACACGGUCCAG
rnacentral:rRNA from 1 species